CACGCUGUAAACGAUGAUUACUGGUUGUUUGCGAUACACUGCAAGUGACUGAGCGAAAGCAUUAAGUAAUCCACCUGGGGAGUACGUCGGCAACGAUGAAACUCAAAGGAAUUGACGGGGGCCCGCACAAGCGGAGGAACAUGUGGUUUAAUUCGAUGAUACGCGAGGAACCUUACCUGGGUUUAAAUGGGGAGUGACAGGCUUGGAAACAGGCCCUUCUUCGGACACUCUUCAAGGUGC
rnacentral:rRNA from 2 species